GUCGAACGAGUUCUGAUGUAUUGAAAGGUGCUUGCAUCUUGAUUUAGAUUUUGAACGAGUGGCGGACGGGUGAGUAACACGUGGGUAACCUGCCCUUAAGUGGGGGAUAACAUUUGGAAACAGAUGCUAAUACCGCAUAAAUCCAAGAACCGCAUGGUUCUUGGCUGAAAGAUGGCGUAAGCUAUCGCUUUUGGAUGGACCCGCGGCGUAUUAGCUAGUUGGUGAGGUAACGGCUCACCAAGGCAAUGAUACGUAGCCCAACUGAGAGGUUGAUCGGCCACAUUGGGACUGAGACACGGCCCAAACUCCUACGGGAGGCAGCAGUAGGGAAUCUUCCACAAUGGACGCAAGUCUGAUGGAGCAACGCCGCGUGAGUGAAGAAGGCUUUCGGGUCGUAAAACUCUGUUGUUGGAGAAGAAUGGUCGGCAGAGUAACUGUUGUCGGCGUGACGGUAUCCAACCAGAAAGCCACGGCUAACUACGUGCCAGCAGCCGCGGUAAUACGUAGGUGGCAAGCGUUAUCCGGAUUUAUUGGGCGUAAAGCGAGCGCAGGCGGUUUUUUAAGUCUGAUGUGAAAGCCCUCGGCUUAACCGAGGAAGUGCAUCGGAAACUGGGAAACUUGAGUGCAGAAGAGGACAGUGGAACUCCAUGUGUAGCGGUGAAAUGCGUAGAUAUAUGGAAGAACACCAGUGGCGAAGGCGGCUGUCUGGUCUGUAACUGACGCUGAGGCUCGAAAGCAUGGGUAGCGAACAGGAUUAGAUACCCUGGUAGUCCAUGCCGUAAACGAUGAAUGCUAGGUGUUGGAGGGUUUCCGCCCUUCAGUGCCGCAGCUAACGCAUUAAGCAUUCCGCCUGGGGAGUACGACCGCAAGGUUGAAACUCAAAGGAAUUGACGGGGGCCCGCACAAGCGGUGGAGCAUGUGGUUUAAUUCGAAGCAACGC
rnacentral:rRNA from 1 species